AUUCUAUCUGCACUUAAGAAUAGAAAAGCAGCAUUCUGAACAGCAAUGCUCAUCACAUAAACAUGAAGUUUCCUCCAAAAGGAAUGAUGACUAAUGCUUUGAGGAAACAGCAGACGUCAGACAGCAAGCCCAGAAAAACCUGCCAGCACCAAGAGGGUGUCCUCAACAGGCGCCUGGGGGACAUAUUAUUCUAACUAAAGAGACCAGAGCUUCCCCAGGAAGGGAAGAGGAGAGAAAUGAAGAACGUCUGUGUUCAUGUUUGCCAAAAACAAAAGUCUGAGAAAUCUCUGAGAGACUCUACAUGGGAGGGCACUAAUCGAAGCACCUCAUUUAAAGUGAGAAAAGCUUUGCUAAGGGCAGAUGAUUCAGCACGGUAUCCUUCGAUGAGUACUGUCAUCUCAAAUCCUUUUUAAGAAGAAAAGUGCAACCCACUGGAGAAAGAGAGGGACUCCGAGGAAGGAGAGAGAGAAGAGGUUGGAAUGAAAGAAAAUGGACAAUCUGUCAGGCUGAACUUUUACACUUAAGAUCAGGGUUCAAACUAGAAGAUGAUAAAAACAAAGGAAAACAAAGCCGACACCGUCCCAGGAGUAACAUACCCUCUUAGAUCACUGUAAAAUGCAAGAAUCAUGCCCUGACACAAAGCUCAAAUUUUGCAAUUUUCAGAGGUUUCCUGGUAACUUUCAUAUAAAUGUACAUAAAUAUCAUGUCAAAGCAAAAGCACACAGUCAUGAUAUUGACUUCUUAUUCUUCCCUGCUUCUUGACAAGAUAAAUCUAAAAAGUGGCACUGAAAAUUGAGAGAACAGCUGAAUAACAAAACCUGACUAGUAAAGUACUUGGUCCUCAUUUUGCAUUCCCCGUUUUUGAAGAAUUCAAAUCAGGAAAUUUCCGUUAUCUAAAUCACAGGUUUCAAUAGGAUUAAGAGAAGAAAUAAGAGAAGCAACAAGGUGCACAGAAAGCCAGCUCUGACCUUUGUUAUUUCAUAUUGAAGCUCUUACUUUGAGAUGGACCAGUAGAUGAAGAGAGCCAUUAUUCAGAGGAGCUGCUCUUGCUCUUCAAAUUUCAGUUAAUAUGACCACAUUAGAAUUAUUUUAUUUUUAAACUUCAGUAACAAGGCUCUCUUUCCUGUUUUCAACACACAUGUUUAGAAUAAUCAGUGGAAACUCUGCAAAUGGAUGAAACAAGCAAAUCCCCCAGGACUGUUUUGUGACUGAUUUUCUUACUUCUCACCUAUCUAAUAUGAACGGUUUAGAUUUUGCUAAGCUCAAUCAUAAACUCAACUCUAGGGGGAAGAAAGUCUCAAGCAUAUGGUUCAACCAACUGAAAAUGCUAUACAAUCAAAAGGAAGUAUAGGCUAGAGGUUUACCAUUGGCUGCUUGUACAUUCUAACCAGUAUUAAAGAUUAACUCCACAACAAAGUGAAA
ensembl:lncRNA SOX5-AS1 SOX5 antisense RNA 1